UGUAGUAAUCUAAUAUCUUAAUGAUUACGUCAUAUUGAUCACAUGAUCACAAAUAUUGUAAUUAGCAUAUAGCACAUGUAUGAUUAGGAACGAGUUGAAUCACACAGAUCUACAAUAAACACGUACCGUCUUCACUCAUGGCUUUCUGAUAGUAGAACCACGAUAAGGACACAACAUUUGGCGACGAGGAAUAGGAAUUAUCAGCAAAGCAGAAGAGUAGAAGAAUGACAAAUGACACGGCAGAUACAAGUUCGGGCGCAAGUAGCGCGGCGACCAACCCGAACAACAUCACCGUAGUAAACCGACAACUCAGUAUCAAACCCUUCCACAUCAACACCGACACCAAUGACACGGCAAUCCGUUGGGUAAGUGGAAGAAGGACAUCGAAAGACAGUUUCGCUUCUUUGGAAUAACAGAACCAGAAACAAAGAAAGACGGCCUGAUAAUCUACGGGAGGAUCCGCGAAGUAGCGCAGAAAUGCGAAUUCACAGAUGAGAACGAGGUGAUUCGAGAUCAUUUAAUCAAGACUAUGAAAAGCGCUCAACUACGACUCAAGACUAUAAGAAAGAACUUAACUCUGUCACAGAUACUAGACGAAGCAGCGAUAGAUGAAGAAUCAAGCGCGCAAGCGGCAGCCAUCGAAAGGAAGCUUAAGGAGGAUUCGGAAUCUCAAAGGGUAAAAUAAAUCACAAAGCGACACACGCGCGACCAACACCACAAAGAAUGCGACCGAUGCGGAGCAAAACACAGCACAGGCAAUUGCAGAGCCUAUGGAGCAGAAUGCCACAAAUGCGGGAAAAGAAAUCACUAAGCUCGAAUGUGUAGGAGCGGCGCAAAAACAAAAGACGAAACAACCUCAGAAUGGCAAGACCAACGCGGGUAACAUCAAUCAAGGAACUUCGGAAGCAGAACCAAAGAAAAGGACGCCGAAAAAUUCGACACGUGGAGCGAGAAAGCGACACCGAAUCAAGCGAAACAGAGAGCGACGAAGAUAUCAACCGGAUACUCAAACAUGUAAAUAUCCGCAAGACAAGCAGGGGUGGAUCCAGGGUAGUUUACGUGAGUUCCGGAACACACUCAAAGUUUUUCAGACCAAGUUAUUUUGAACUUAAAUGGCUUUUUAAAAAAUACUCCGAUAUCCCUAGAAACUAUUGGCUUGUCUGUGGAAAUCAUUCAAUCUCCUGUAUUUUUGGUUUUUAAUUAAAUUAAACACGUAAAAAGAUGCCUUAUCGUCUUUAUUAUUCUUAUGCGACUUCACGGAGCGCCCUGGAUCACGAGCUUUGGAUUUGAGCUUCGAUUACUUUUCGGGAACCUUCGGAAAUCCGUCGGAUAAGAUCGGAAAAUAUUGUCACCAAUUUGCAAGCGAGGGGGUGGGUGAGGUGUUAUUAUAGUUAGCCCUGGAGGAACACACUCAAAACCUCGCGCGAUUGGCUGGAAAUUUUUUCAUUGUGUUGGAACUCACUCAAAACCAUUUUUGAUUGGCUAACUCACUUGGAAACCACCGCGGAAACUAUCGACAAAAGUAUAAAACGGUCUGUACCUCCCCCAACGGUCUUCUUUCGUUUGCCUUCACUAGAGUCUCAGUACUUGCAUCGGAGUUUACGAAGGAAUUAGUUAACAAAUUGCACUAGUUUUUACUCUUUAUGGCUCGUGCUCCUGUCUGUCGGAAGGAGGAUUGUUCUCCCUACGACAUUGGCUUAGUCUUCGACAAGAUCGCCAGCUAUUCGCCUCAGGACAAGUUGAAAUUCAUCGAAAAUGUAUGGAAACCAGAUUUCUCGACUCAACCAAAAACUUCAGAGAAGAAUUUAUUGGAUUUUAUAUUUGUAAGGAGGGAACAACAGGAGAGGCCAUCAAAGACUUUAUAACUGCAGCUGUAGUACCCUUAGGGUUGAUGAUGGAAGACUGUCGUGGCCAAUGUUAUGAUGGCGCUGGCAAUAUGGCUGGACGACUUAAUGGAGCCUCCUCGUUAAUCAGAGCAGAACAUGAGAAGGCAAUUUUUGUCCAUUGCAUGAAUCACCAGCUGAAUUUGUGUAUUGCCAAUACCUGCCAAAUACCAAAUGUCAGAAACAUGAUGGAUGUUGUGCGAAAGCUUUUUUAAUUUUUUGACAACUCUCCCAAGCGACAAGAACAUUUAGAAUUCAAGAUCAUAGAACUUUUG